rnacentral:lncRNA from 1 species
UCCAUUGUACAUGUCCUUGAUUACUCUGAUGUAGGCUUCUGGCACACCCUUCGCCUCCAAGCACCUCCAUAGCACCUCCCUCGGGACCUUAUCAUACGCAUUUUCCAAGUCGAUAAGCACCAUAUGAAGGUCCUUCUUCUUAUCCCUGAAUUGUUCCGCCGUCCGCCUGACUAAUAAUACUAAGUCUUUGUUCCAUUUUAUUAAUAUAACCUGCACAUUGAUAACUAUAAAAUUGCAAGAACAAACCAUCCCACAUUACAAAU